UAUCUCUUUUCAUAAAAUUUUGUUAUGAUUUAAUAACUUUUCUUAUCACAAUGUUAGGAGAUUGCUCUAAAAAAUAAACACAAUAGGACAAAACAAACUCUUUCUCACACAGGGGGAUCCAAGAGCAUUGCAAGGAAGAGAGAAGAAAUGGAAAAAGAGUGUGGGCACAAAGUUAGCAGAGGAGAAGUUUGGAUAGCUACUCAUAAGACGACCAAUGGAGCUUUUGUUAGUGAUGAGACAAGGGAAAUUGGUGAAAAAAUUCAAACAUAUGAAUCUACAACAUCGUCUCAAUCAAAAGAAAUAUCAAGUUUAGAUUCAUUGGCUCAUGUUUUAGGAAGCCAAGAGCAUUGUGGACGUGUUCACGGUCUAGGUUUGGGUCCUUGCCCAUCUAAAGUCUUUGGAGUCCAUGCUCGUUCUCAUAUUGGAUCAUCUUCA